GAUGAAGAACGCAGCGAAAUGCGAUAAGUAAUGUGAAUUGCAGAAUUCAGUGAAUCAUCGAAUCUUUGAACGCACCUUGCGCCCUUUGGCCAUUCCGAAGGGCAUGCCUGUUUGAGUAUCAUGAACACCUCAACUCUCAUGGCUUGCCAUGAUGAGCUUGGACUUUGGGGGUCUUGCUGGCCUGCGGCCAGCUCCUCUCAAAUGAAUUAGCUUUCCAGUGUUUGGUUGGCAUCACAGGUGUGAUAACUAUCUACGCUUGUGGUUUCCACCAGGUAACCUUCAGUAACAUGGGGGUUUGCUGGAGCUCAUAAAUGUCUCUCCUCAGUGGGGACAGCUCUUUGAACGUUUGAUCUCAAAUCAGGUAGGACUACCCGCUGAACUUAAGCAUAUCAUAAGCGGAGGA
rnacentral:misc_RNA from 1 species